rnacentral:SRP_RNA from 1 species
GACUUCUUUGGCAGGGGCCCAGCGGUUGUGGUCAGAAGUCGGCCGAGACGCGCACCGGCCAAGGCAGGCAAACAAAGCAUGGCACGUCGAUCGCUGGUGGGACCAGCGAGGAUGGCGGGCCA